CCUACGGGAGGCAGCAGUGAGGAAUAUUGGUCAAUGGGCGCGAGCCUGAACCAGCCAAGUAGCGUGAAGGAUGACUGCCCUACGGAUUGUAAACUUCUUUUGUCAAGGAAUAAAGUGAGGCACGCGUGCCUGGUUGUGUGUACUUUAUGAAUAAGGAUCGGCUAACUCCGUGCCAGCAGCCGCGGUAAUACGGAGGAUCCGAGCGUUAUCCGGAUUUAUUGGGUUUAAAGGGAGCGUAGGUGGGUUGUUAAGUCAGUUGUGAAAGUUUGCGGCUCAACCGUAAAAUCGCAAUUGAUACUGGCAGUCUUGAGUUCAGUUGAGGUAGGCGGAAUUCGUGGUGUAGCGGUGAAAUGCAUAGAUAUCACGAAGAACUCCGAUUGCGAAGGCAGCAUGCUAA
rnacentral:rRNA from 1 species